GACCAAGCCGCGCUGCCAAUUGCCAUAUACUUAGUGCCAGCAGCUGACCUUGGGACGUUCCUAACUGCUGCUGUAUUUGAAUAUUCUAGAAGUAUCCAAAAACAUCAAGGCACAGCGCGAUGUUAGGA